rnacentral:tRNA from 1 species
GCAUGUAGCUCAAUGGUAGAGUGCUCACCUAGCAUGUGUAAAGCCCUGAGUUUGAUUCCCAGCAUUGCA